rnacentral:lncRNA from 1 species
AAGCUUUUUCUUGACAAUAUCUAUCGCUAUCAUGGAUUUUCCAAGGAUAUUAUAUCAGAUAGGAGAACUCAAUUUGUAUCAAGAUUUUGACAAACUCUUUUCAAGAUUCUAAAAGUGGAUAUAAAACUAUCUUUGGCAUUCCAUCUUCAAACUAAUGGACAAAGAAAGUAUGUUAAUCAAGUUUUGGAGCAAUAUUUAAGAUGUACCAUCAACUACCAACAAGAUGAUUGAGUAACUCUUUUGCCAUUAACAGAGUUUGCUUACAAUAAUAUAGUACAUUCUGAUACAAAAUAAACACCUUUCUUUGCUAAUUAUGGUUAUCAUCCAUGACUUGAUACUUUUGACUCUUCAAAAGUUGAUAAUCUUGCUGCGAAAUAUUUGGCGAUUCAUUUGUCAGAGCUACAUGCAACGAUGAAGGUGCAGUUAAAAGAGGCUCAAGAACAACGAAAGGUCAAUGCGGAUGUCUAUCGAAAGGAACAACCACCAUUCCACUUGGGUGAUAAGGUAUGGCUACUUUGUCAUAAUAUCAAGACCACUCGUCCUUGUGACAAGUUGGACUAUCGAAGGCUAGGACCAUUUUCUAUUUUUACAUAAAUCAAUCCAGUUGCAUAUCGUUUACAUCUACCGGAGUCAAUGAAAAUCCAUCCAAUAUUCUACGUGUAUCUUUUUGAACCAUAUAAGUCAGUAGACAUACCAAGAAGAUGACAAGCUCCACCUCCUCCUAUAGAAGUGGACAAUAAUGAAGAGUUUGAAAUAGAAAAAGUCUUAAAUUCAAGGCGGCACCAAAAUAAAUUGGAAUAUCUUAUCAAUUGGCAUGGAUAUGAUAUUAGUGAACACACAUGGGAUCUUGCAAAUGCAGUAAAGAAUCUUGCAAAUGCAGCAAAGGCGAUUGAGGCUUUUCAUUGACAACAUCUAUCAAAAUCAAGAUAAAAAUCUUCUUUAUAAAAGAAACAACAUCUAGGCAAGAUAAAAUUCUACUUUCAAUCAUUGUUUAUAACUUCUUUGUAGUUGUGACGCUGAGGAGAUAGAGAACCAACAAUCAGCAGAUUCGACUAAAUAGCCUUCAUUUACUGACCUGUCGAAUGAGACAUUAUGAUUGUCACAACCUUUAAGACGAUGCAAUCAAGAUGAAGAUCUUCAAGAACAACAUGUUCUUCCUCGAAUAGAUGACAAGAUACAAUACGUUUGAUAUCACGACUUGGGAAGAGACUCCCAAUGUUUGGUGAUUUUACUAGAGGUAGGAACAACUCUUGAUGGUGUUCCAAAUGUUCUAUUCUAAGGAAGUUAUGAAGGCCUCAACAAUGAUCAAAUAACUAGGUGGUCUUUCCGCCCUGAUAUGGGACACUACCGAUGGUUGAGAGGCCCUAUCAAUCAUCUUCAAAGAGAACAAAGAUUAGAGUAUGUGGCGAAUACAAUUCGUCAUAUCAUAGAUUUUCACAACAUAUGAUGACCGCUCCUCGUGGAACUCGUCCCUAGAAGGGGGGAUAAUGUCACGGACAUACUCAUAAAUUACAUAUACAAAUAUGUAGAAGUAAAUAAAAGUAGAUAAAAGUAAGUUAAUUUUAUAGUAUUUAAUAUGGAAGCUUUCUAGAAGCUUCAUAGACACUACUUUGACUUCAUAGGUGUCUUUAAUUGACUUUUUGGAUUAGAAACGUGGUCAACAAGUUGGCCAUAUACCACACAUAUUGUUAGCUUAAAGACCAAGCUAAUUAUGUGGUCCACACAUAGAAAAACUUGCCUUGUAAGUCAAGGCAUAUGUCCUAUAAAGUCAACACAUAUUGGAGGUCCUAUAGAAUGUUGCCAUGUAGCCCCUAGUUAGAUAGUAUAUAUAGAGAUAAGAGUGAAGCCUUCUUCACUCUUGUCAACUCCUUUCUUGCUUCCAGUCUAGUUUCAAGGGUCUCUAAUUUUCUUGUCUUUUGGUAAUAGCCAUUCCAGUUUCUCUUUCAAUAUACAUACUUGUUUAUUUAUAUUUUAUUACCUUUCUUUGAGUGAAGGCUCACUUGUUUGAAUUGAUUUUUUAUCGAUUUCUUGUCCUUGACAGAUACAUAAAUCUCAUUCUUGAAAUAGAGGAAGCCAUUAUUAAGAGUGUAAUCUUGGUACUGUUUAUUGUCCAUCAUCAACCAAUUACUAACCAUCUUGAAAUAAUCAUCUCAAUGCAUAGAUUUCUUCCAUACUAUUUUUUUUUGUUAGGUUUGAGAUGACACUACUAAUGGUAGUGAUUUUUCCCUUCUCUCCUAAUUUAGUAUUUAAGUCUGAUCUCUAUGAUAAGUUGUUUGGUACAAUAUGUUGUCGCUCUUACUUACACUGAAGUUGAAUGUCAAAAAGCUGCAAUUGUUCUUUCUAAUGAUGAUUUCUUGAUUUCAUAUUUUUCAAAUAUAAAUCAUGUAGCAAGGAUCAAUGGUCAAUCCAAACAAUCAAUGGCUUCUUCAAUAGAUAGUAUUUCCAUACUUUUGUAGCAUGUACAAUUACUAAUUGAACUUGAUCACAUGUAGAGUAGUUAAGCUUUGCCCUUCUGAGUUUGCAUGAUUCAUACAUCACAAAUUGAAGGCCCCUACUAAAGUCUUAAUGAAGGACCGCUCUAAUAGCAAAGUCAAAAGCAUCAAUGUCAAGUGUAUAGAAAAGGUUGAGAUCAUACAAUUGCAAUAUUGGAGUAAUAAUGAGUACCUUUCUUAACAUAUCAAAGGUACUUUGCUAUUCCAAUUUCCAUUCAAAUGGAGCACCCUUCUCUAAUAGGCUUGUUAAUGAGGUAGUAAUAUGUACAAAUCGAUGAACAAAACAGCGAUAAUAUUCGACAAGGCCUAAAAAUGAAUGGACUUCAGAAGCAUUCGUAGAGAGUUGGUCAAUCUUCCACUGCUUUCACCUUAUCUUACUCCAUACACAUACCUUUGGAUGAAAUCACAUGCUCCAAAAAGGUGACUUCUAACUUCCAAAGUUCACACUUUGAUUGCUUAUAAUAGAAGCAACUAUCACAUAGUUGAUGCAGCACUUUCUGUAGAUGUUGUUCAUGCUCCUGAAGGAUUUUAUUAUAGACCAUGAUAUCAUCAAUGAAGACAAAAACAUACUUAUCUAAAAGGUCUCAAAAUAAUCUAUUCAUGUGAAUGAUAAAAGAAGUCCGAGCAUUGGUGAGGCCAAAAGGUAAUACAAGCCACUCAAAAUAUCCAUAGUGCAUACAAAAUGUUGUCUUUUCUAUAUUUUUCUUGGCAAGAAGGAUUUGCUAAUAACCAUUCUAAAGAUCUAAUUUGCUAAAGAUGUUUGCACCUUGAGGUUGGUCAAGAAAAUCAUCCACACAUAGAAGUGGAUAUACAUUCUUGAUAGUCUGCUUAUUCUGACCUCAAUAGUUAAUGUAAAGUCAAAGUCCACCAUCUUUUUUUGGUGCAAAGAAUAUAGGUGCUCUCCAUGGCAAUGUGCUUUCUCAAAUGAGACUUUUUUUCAAUAAUUCAUCCAAUGACUUUUGCAGCUCUUCAAGUUUAUUUGAUGUUAGUCAAUAAUUUGGACGACUAGCCGGUUUGGCCUCAAGUAUUAGUUCUAUUUGAAAGGAAGCACCUCAAUUAGAUGGUACACUACUAGAUAAGUUGGUUGAAAAGACAUUCAAAUAUUCACAUAUGAAUUAUUCUAUCCUUUCUGCUCUUUUGAUUGUCUUUUUUACCACUGAGGCAAGUUUCAAAACCACCACAUAUAUCAGUUGCUUAUUCUAUAUUUUCUUCUUUGUAAAGGUCAUUCUUAUGAAUAAGCUCUUAGCCGUAGAUUGUUUUCAUAUCUUACUCAACAUAGGGACACAAAGAGUCAUUCUACAUCCUCCAUCUUUGAAAGAGAUUAUUCUUGUUAGCCAAUCGAUCUAUUUAUUCUCCACCUCUAGUCAUGGCACUAAGGAUAACAUCAUAUCUAAGCUUUAUUAUUCUAAACUUCUUUUUGAAGGCAUAGGUAUCACUUAGCUUUAAGAUUUCUUCUUCACUUAUCUUGCUCAACAUGUUCUUUCAAUCAUUUGCUAGAUAUAUACUCCUUCCUUUAAUCACCUUUCUUUUAAUCCCUAGUCGGUUGGUUAUUGCAAUCAAGAUGUAAUUUUUUGUAGAGCCGCAAUCCACAAGUACUCAAAAUGGUUGUCUUUUUAAUUGUCCUGUUAGACACACUAAUUAAUUUUUUUGAUAUUUGUCCAAGGCCAUGUUAUUUGUCUCUAAAGAAUAGCAACUAUCUCCAAUAUUGGCCUUUGGUACUUUUAUUGAAGAGCCUCGUUUUCCUAUUCCACUUUUUUAACAACUUGGUAGCUUUUGACAUUGUAAACUAUCCAUAAUUUAUUGGUGCUUAAACUUUGAUAUUUUGAAUAGUCUCUAAUCUGAUGGUUUGGCUCCCAACAAUAAAAGCACAAUCUCUUUUUCAACAAUAAUUUUCAUUUUUGUGAUAUUAAUGGCCCUUGUAGAACAUUAAUCUCCAUCAACAUUGAUUAUUGUGCUAUAGUAUUAGCUAGUAGCAUAGAAUUCUACACUAUAGGUCAUAUUCUAUGAUUUUUGAAAUCUAUAGCAUAGACCCUCCUUACAAUCCUAAUUGCCUCUUUAAAUGUUUGUAGAUUUUUUAAUUCCACUUCUUUUUGGAUCACAAGUUUCAAUCCUCGUAUAAAUCAAUUCAUUAUCUCUGUCUUUGAAAUGUUGUCAAUUUGGAGACAUAGGAAAUUAAAUCAAGAGAUAUAAUAUUACACUAACCAAGAUUGUGUAAGGUUAGUCAACUGAUCAUGUGUUAAUAUUUCCGCAUUAAUGGUCCAAAAUCAACUCCUAUGUUCAAUCUCAAACUCCUUCCAAUCACCAAAUCUUUCUUGAGCUCCAUAGCUUUGAGGUCAAUGUCGCCACCAAAUGGUUGUUGUAUCUUUCAAAUGAUUGGAAGCAUGUAUAAUUCUUUUGUUGAUAUUUGUUCCAGAUAAUUGGAAGUAUUUUUGUAUGUUGAAGAGCCAUUGGCAUGCAUCUUCUUGCCUUGAGGUCGUUGAGUAUGUAUUAGGCUUGCUCAAUUUCAUCCUAACAAAUGUCAACUCUCUUAUCUUAGAAGCUUUUAUUUGCUCUUACAGAGUAGAUAUUUGGCCUAGGAGUUUGUAUUUGAGUCUUUAUCUGGGAUUGCUUUGCCAUAUCUCCUAUAUUGAAAUUUCUUUGCUCAACUUUGUUAUUAUAAUGCCUUCUCUCCUUCCAAUUGACUUCUUAAAGUAGCUCAUUGUAGCCCAAAAAUAGUACUCAAUGUGAUCACAAUAAUUGACUUCUAAUAAACAGUGGCUAUGAACUUACUACCAAAGAACAAUCUAACACUUGCUCUAAUAUCAAUGAAAUAAGAUUGGAUACAUUAAAGUUUAAAAUCUUAUCAAAUCCAUAAGAACAAAGAUUUCAACACAACGUAAGACCAAGUACAUUAAAACAAAACUAAAAGUAACUAAACGGAAUAGAACAUGAAAGAUAGGACUAAAUAAAAGAGAAUAAACCAAACAAAACCAAACAAAACCAAAUAGAAUAGAAUAAAAAAACCAAACUUUACUAAGAGAAAGAGUCUAAAAUCAUACUUGACCAACUGCCUCAAAUGGCCUUAGUUAGUCUUAUUUAUACUUUGUUCAAUUAUAUUAGAACUUUCUAGAAUGUCCCUAAUGAUGGAUCUUAUCAAAAUAACUGUCUUUUUAGAAGAUUCUUAAGAUGGAUCCUACCAUGAUAACCACCUUAAGCUUUUCUAAAAGAUUCUAUGGUGGAUCAUAUAUAAACCACUAUUCUAACUUCAAUUCUAAAAGCUUCUCAAAAACAACUCCAAUUACAUAUCUUAAUCUGCAAAUAAUACAACCAUCCUAUCCAUGCCUUGUUACAAUAUUAAUAUGUAGUAUUUAAAUUAAAUAUUUUAUUCUUUGACAUUAAAUAGUACUAAGAUUUUUUUUUUAAAGAAUAUCUCAUUAAGUAUCUUCAUAUGAAUUUUGAUGAAUCUACUUUUUAUAAUUUUUAAAGAUUUUUUCUUUAAUCUAAAUUUUUCAAGUUUUUAUUUGACAUUAAUCAUAUUUUUUUAAUCAAAAUUUGUAUUGAUAUUUCUUAAGUAUUAUCUCUCUAUAUAUAAAAUCUCUCUCUCUUUCUCUCUCUUUCUAUAUAUAUAUAUAUAUAUAUAUAUAUAUAUAUGACACAUUAUAAGAGUAAACAUUCUGGAAACUAUUAAGUGUGUAGAAUAGUUAAGCAUCAUGUUUAAAAUAUGAUUUAAUAUUAAAAAUUUAUUAGUUAAGCAAAUAAUAUGAUAAAGUUUAUUUUUUUAAUCUAUUGAUAAAUUAAAUAAAUUAAAAUUAUAGCCCUAGUUGAAGAAUAAGAAUAUAUUUUUUAAAUUUAUUCAUGUAUCUUCUAUAUAUAUAUAUUAAAAUUUUAUCUAUGUUUAAUAUAGUAUAAAUGUAAUUUUUUUAUCCAAAAAAAUAGAUGUAUUCUUAUUGUAUAAUAAAAUCUUCUAGCUUAGAAUAUAAAAAUAUAUCAAAUUUAAAAUUUAUAUUAUAAAAUAAUCUUAAAUACAUGAAUGUGUUUUUUUUUUAUUACUCUAUAUAUUUUAAUAUUUGCAUUUCUAUAAAUUUAUUUUUUUGUAAUUUUUAAAAAAAAAUCCUAGUUUUAUCCUGUUGUUUGGAGUAAUGGAUUCCCGGGCAAAGGUUCAUCAUGUCUAUUCCAAACAAUGCGCCAUAUAGUACCUGAUUUUGGAGAUUCUACCAAAGAAAAACCUUUAAACCUAAAUGGAAUAAAUGUCAACACAUCACUUAAUACAAUUUUUACAUCUCUAGCUAAUGGAAGUGUGUGAGAAUUAACAACUUUUUUAGAAUUAGCCAUACGUAAAGUUUUAGUACUAAUACCAACCCAUGCCUUACCAUGUGUGUCUAAUUCUACAUGAGAAGGAUGUCGAAAAUUAGUAUGCAACCAAAAAAUCCAAUCUUUUGCAUUAGGCCAUGGUUGAAUUUGACUACUUCCACCACGUGCAUGCAUUGUACUAUCAAUCCAACUGUAUACUCGUUGAAUUUCAUCUUGUGUCAGCAACCCUUCUUUCCAAUCUUUAAGAAUAUCAUGUACACCUUUUGGUAGGGAAUUUGUAAAAUUGCUCUUUUCUUCCUUUACCACAUUCUCCUCCUGAUAAAAAAAUGUAUAAAAUCACAUGUUUAAAUAUUUUAAAAGAUUCAACACAAUCACUCCAACCAUAUGCAUUUCAUAUAAAAAUUCGAGUGUUUGAUACCUUUACAGCAAUAGCAAAAUUCUCCGUAUGAUCAAAGGCCUCCAUGUCAUGAAAGCUUUGUACACAUGAUGUUUUCGAAUCUAGAAUCGAAUUGUCAACGCCACCGACACAACCACCGACACCCUCGCCGACACAAUCAUCGAUACGGAGCGCCUUGUGUUUUUGCAACAAAGAAGGCACCACCGCGUCGGAGACGACGACGACGACACCCGCAUCCUCAUCGCCAUCGCCGCUCCUCGAGCUCUCUCCUGGGAAGCACACCGCCAUCGCAGCCCCAACCCCACCAUCUGAGCUUGCGACCGACAAGGGCGACGACGCACCGAGCGGCGAAUGGACGCCGUCACCGUCGUCGUGGUCGUCGUCGUCGUUGGGAAGAGGCUGGAAAUUCGAUAAGCGUGCUUCGAGCAAGUGGAGGUAGCGGUGCUGGUGAUUGAUGUCAGCGAGCUUGGCCUGGGCCAUGAGGAGGCCUUUCUUCAUGUAAAUGGCCUUGCGCUUGGUGAGGCGCAGCUCCUCGGUGCAGCGUCGCAGGUGCUGCACUUCAUGCUUCUGCUGUGCGGAGAGCGGUGCGCCGUGUCGAAGCGCAUCCUGGAGGGAGUCCAGCCUCUGGGUUUCGGUGCUGUUAUGGGAUUCCAUUUCGUCCAGCAGGCUCCGGUAAUGCAGAAUGCUUCGCUGCAUGACUGUGGGUGGGAUCUUCGCGAUGAAUGUGCGACAGGUGGGUGAUCCGCACAAGCAUAACUCGGCGUAUUUUGCGUCGUCGGUGUAUGUCCAACUGAGACCAAAUUUGUAUGUUUACUAAGAUAUUCAUAUACUUACAUGAUACUUAUAAGAAUAUCUCAAUUUUUGUUCUUGGGUCCAUGUUACAAAUUAUGAUAUGAUCUUGAAUCAUAUUUUAUAUGUGCGUGUAUAUACAAGUAAAGAUUUUGGUAUGAAGUUGAUGUUAUUUAUUUAUUUAUUUAUUUUCAUUUUAUUUUGUUUUGUUUUUUGACAGUCAGAAUUUAUGUUGGUUAAUACUAUGACUCGUUCAGGAUUUUAUUGUGGCUUACUUGUAGUCGUAUGUGAGGGUGUCUCCUUUGAAACAUAUCUUUUUUGACCUUCCAACAAUGUAGAUUUUUCCAUUUUGCCAUCUUCAAUGCAGAAUUUGUAGUUUUCAGCAUAUUGUUAAUUUGUGUUCAAAAGUUACGUGUGAGAGAGUAUCAAAAAUAUAUAACUACAUUUGUAAAAAUCAUAUAGCAAUUAGGUUGUACAUAUUAUUUUUAAUAUAUGCACAUUUUAUAUAUAUAUAUAUAUAUAUAUAUAUAACCCUUCAAAAAACAACAAAUGUUUGAACAGAACUUUAGAAAUUGAGGACUUGCAUACUAAACCAUACAUCAAUUAAAGUGCGACACUAUGCACAGUCAAUUACCACUUUCUAAAAUUUUGCAAAUGUUGGUCAAAUCAUCCACAAAAAGAAAAUAAGAAGACCAAUGCUAACAUUUCAAAUAUUUCUGUGUUGGGAUUGCAACCAUGGUUCACAAAGCCUGCAACUUCUUUGUAAGUAUCAACAACAAAACUUGGAACUCCAAACUUGCCAAUUCCUUUUGUGGCUUCUCCCUCCCACUUUUCAAUCAACGCGUAAAGAUUUGGAGGUUUUUCCUUGGAUUUCUUGAGAUAAUGCUUCAAUGAGGUCAUUUUCCCAGUGAAAACAUAAGCCAAGCAUCCAAUGUCAAUGUCUUCCUCCGUGUACAGCUCAUCUCCCGCAAUUCCAAGUCGAACAUCAAGUUGGGGCAAAUGGAGAAAUGUGUUGGGAAUGCAAAAUCCUUCGCAUGCGCAUUCGAUGUCACAAGUUUUGCGAAAGUGGUGGCAUGAGCACCCAUAUUGGCAUUGGAGUAAGGAAUUGACACUGGGAGGCUUGCAAUUACAAUGAUGAUUUUGCAUAGCGAGGUUCACCUCAGACGAUGCUGCAUUGUAUUGUUUUUUGCACGGUAAUUGUUCGUCAAAGCUUGCUUCCACAUCUUGAAUUUGUUGCAAGAUUUCUCUGUGUUGUGUGAUUUUUGCAGCUUUUGCCUUGAAAUUGAACAUGUUGGCAGGAUUCAUUGUGUAACCAAAACGAAUUCUCAAUUUCACUUCAAGAUUUAAACCUAAUAAUGAGAAUAAAGUUUAUUAAUAAAGAAAUUAUAUAUAUAUCUAUAUAUAUAUAUAUAUAUAUAUAUAUAUCUGUAGUAUGUUACCAAUAAUUUAUAUGGUGGAAGAUACAUAUGUGAUUUUAUUUUUUAUAUACUAUAUACAAAACAAGAAGAAGAAAAUAUGUAUGUAUAUUCGAAACAAGAAGAAGAAAAUAUGUAUGUAUAUUCGAAAUAAUAUAUGGAUGUAUUGUAAUGUAUCACUUUUCAUUUUCUACAUAUGAAAUAAUAUACACAAACUAUGAGUUUUAAUUUACAAAAAAAAUAUAUUGAACAUUUAUUUGGAUAUCAUUUAAUAGAAUUGAACCAUUUAAAACAUGAGAUUUGAUGCUGUAGAAUGCUACACUUGUUACACAUCUUCAUUGUUUGAAUACAGAACAUGUUCAUAAUGGCAGUGGUUUUGUUCAUGCUAAUCUAAGACAAUACAUUAUUAUAUAUCAUAUUCGCAACUGAACCAUAUAACGUUGAUUUACACAAAAUUUACCCAUUCUUGAAAUUGUUGCUAAACUUCUCUUGAAUUUUCAUCAUUAUAAAUUUGUUAUACCAAUUCACAAGUUUCCAAUAUAUGUAUAUAUAUAUAUUAAGGUCCUUUCCAUUAAGUUACAAUUUUUUGAAAGUUUUGGGGCAUCUCUACUUUUCAAGCUAUUUCCAUCAAUAUCAACGUAUAACAAGAAAAUCAAGGUUUGACGGCUGGUGACGGUGCACCACACAACCAAUCUUAUUGUACUUCACAUACAAAUCAGAUUUUGGAACACAGAAGAGUGCAAUUUAGUGCUAUUAAUCAGAGUACAGUCCCUUGUGAAAAUGCAACACAAUAAAUGUCUUAUGUUCAAAUAAAUUCCCGCAAUCUUUCUGUACAAGGACACAGCUACCUCAGAAUGAAAAAGCUACCAGAUGGAACCAAACUUUCCCCGGCAAAAGCACAACGCCAUUUUUACACCCCAAUUCUGCACAGAUUCUGAAGGGCUCAAUAAUCCAAUACAGCGGCACACCAGCAAUGCAAAAAAAAUCUUGUACGCUGAACUCAGAUUUCAAAUCAGCCAAGCAUACAAGAAUGAGAUUGUUAGGUUUGCAUUUGUACCCAAGGAAAAGGCAGAGCCUGUACCACAAUCCCCAUUGAAAGUUGACAAAAACUUAUUGUCAAUCAAACUUAGGUAUACAACUCAGGUAAGCUAAAUAAACAUGAUGUAAGAGACAAGAAGGCAACGGAUUCCAUCUUAAGCUUCAUGAAUAACAAUAAGAGAAUGCUCUACAAUAUAAUAUCUUGCAACUUGCCACGGUGACCAAGUGCAAUAUUUUAGAAGUUAUCACUCGUCUCGCUAAACGUAGGCCUCUACUUUGCAGAUGCAUUUUUGGGGGUAUAGCAAAAACCACAGUUCUUUGCUCUUUUUCAUGCUGACUGGAAAUCUGGCAUCAGAAAAUGCUUUACAACCCUGUUGCGAGUGCCAUGCACGCCCACUUCUCCUCCCUUAGGUCCACCGCUAAAACAGGUCUUAAAAAAUGUGUACAAUGUCAUAUGCAAAUCUGUUGAACGUUAAGGUAUACGCAUGAAAUGGAUGCACGAUUGUUGUGCCACUGAUUCCGAAACAAGCAUUAAAUAACAGAGAGUAAUUCAACCGGUUUUUCAAACUCUACGCAGCAUGCACAAGAAAAGGAAUACUCAACACUUAGUAGCUAAAUAUGAGAGACCUACAGAAACUCGUAGACAACCCAGUCGAAGCAUAACCCAGGAAAAAACAACCAAAAUAUUAAAAGACUUGCAAAGGAUACGUCCAGAAUAGAAUGAAUGACUGUCCCAGCCAACCCACCACACCAUUUAACAGUCAGUAAGUGUACUUGUGCGUGCAUUUAGUAUAAAGCAACUAACUACAGAUAAAUUGGUACACAAUGGAUCAGAAUGGAAUUCAUAUUUGAUGCUACCAAUCCCACUACAUUUUCACACGAAUAUGUAGACAUCAGUGAGACAUACAACUUAAGAAUCCAAACAUAGGGUUGCCCAUGAAAAUGAAUGGAAAGGAUUUAAAAUCUCACUAGCAAGCCUUGCCCAAUGCCAUCAAAGAGAAUGCGGUUCCAUGAAUCGAAGUACGAGUGCACAUCAAACUUUGCUUUGGCAGCAACUCCAACCGAUGCAAGCAUCAUAAUCAAAAAGUAGCAUAGGAAACCAGAAAUUCCAGUCAACCCAAGCACUCCUGCAAUAACACCUCCCACGAUGGACAAAAACGUGCGGCUGCAUCCCAACCACGCAAACCAUACAAAUUUCAGAUCUUACAAACCCUAGAGAGGAAUUUCGUACGAACACGAUAGAGCCACAGUCAAAAUAGAAAGCGGAGGGUCUCUCAUAAGAUACCUAUAGUAGAUCAUGCGCAUGUUAAGCUGAACAUUCUCCUGACUGUAAGCCGGAACCUCGUCGGCAUCAUCGACCUUCUUAGUCUGAUCUUUGGCAUUGCCUGUACAGAACGAACAACCUCAUUCAACUACCACCACGCACUGUCCGCGAAACAAACACCCCUAAACGGAACCAAACAUAGAGGAAAUCUGACUUCCUGCUCAACGGCUUGCCAUCACAACUUCAAUAACUCAACUGCCAAUUCAUUUCGCUUAAGAUUUCUAACGCUCCGGUUGUCUUUCAAUGCAACAGGUGGAAAUCCUAAAACCCUAGAAUCGAUCUCUUCGUUUGAUCGAUGCAGAAUUGCGAUCUUCCGGGAAAAAAUUUAAGAACAAGGCCGAAGUCGAAGAGAAGCAAAAUCGGCUGAUCGGGAAAGAGAGAGGAGAGGGAAGGUUACUGGUUCGUGACACCACUGCCGAUCGCGGAGUCGGCGCCAUGGCUCUGCAGCUUCUUCUUCGAUUUCCCUGUUUCAAUGCAAAAAACUCCGUCGUGCUCAAGGCCACCCUGCUGCUUGGCUCCGAAACCCAUUCUGCGGAGGUACGGACCCGACGAACGAAGCCCAUCGACAGACGAACGGACGAAUGUAGCUUCUUCCAACGAACUGAGGAGGAUGGCGGACGAAGUGGCUUUCGACGAACUCAGCAGGACAACGGACGAAGCCUCCUCUGACGAGCUUCGUUGGACGAGUUGGCGUUGGACUAAGAUCUGGUUCAAGGUUGUGGUGGAGAGUGUGAUCAAUUAACAUUACAAUUAUACAUGGGGCUUGUUAUUUUAAUUCUUUGUCGAUGAUUACUUGAGGAAGAUUCAAAUGUGCACCUUCAAAGUAAGAAGAGAAUGUUUUACAAGAUUUGACAAAUUGAAGGAACUUCUAAAGGAAUCUUACCAUUACAUCAAGGAAAUAAGUUUGAGAAAUGUAGAUGAGUUUAUGAUUUUGCAAUUUGGUGAUUUUUAUAGAAGAUUAUAUAAGUGUUAGAGAAUAUCAAUAUUUUAAAAAUAUGGAUAGCAAAGCAUGAAAAAAAUAUUGUUACAAAGAUAACAAUAAAUAUUUUACAAACUUAAAAUUUUGAUUAUAAAGUUUGCAUAAAAAUAGUAGUAAAAUUAAUUUACACGUUUAAUUAGUAUUUUUUUAAAAUUUCUAUGUAAUUUCAACUAUAAAAUAAAUAUAAAUAAAUAAAUAAAUAUUGUAUAAGUGAAAAUCUUUGAGUAUAUUAUAUGCACAAAAGAGUGCAUACAAAAGAGCCUCAGUAUUAUGGAAAAACAAAUUUGCUAUAUAAUUAAAAAAAUAUUUAUAUUCAAAUUAUUGUAAGAGAAAUAAAACUUAUAUGUUGAUGCGUUUAGACCAAAAAAUUAAUUAACUAUAUGUAUAUAUAUAUAUAUAUAUAUAUAUUAUAUACAAUAAAAAAAUAAAGAAGUUGCACGUAAAAAUUGUGCAAAGUAAGAAAAUAUCUCAAUGCUAAUGUGUUUUACUUAUAUAGGAGGAAAUACAUUGAUAUUGUUUUAUUUGGUUUUAUUUAAAUAUAAGAUGUUUCUAAGUUGAUCAUGCUAAAGCUGUAGCUAUCUCUUGUUUUAGUUUUUAGAUAGAUGGAUUUAUGUUUAUAUAUAUAUAUAUAUAUAUAUAUAUACAUAUACAUAUUAGUAAACCUAUCUUAUAAAUACCACUAGAUGUUAAUCAAAUGGAAUUUUUAAUAUUAAUUGAUGAUUAAUAAUAAUUUAUAAUUUCAACUUUAAAAGUAAUUUAAGUUUUCUAAUAUUAUAAAAUUUUCUAACAAUUAACAUAUCUCUCUUUUCAAGUACUUUGUUGAGCAUAUUAACAACCAUGUCUUUUAAACAAUCGGAUUAUAUUUCUUUCAACAAAACUAUAAUUGUUUAUUUUAAAAAAAAAUAUUAAUAAAAUCCUUCUAAAAGUUAAUUUUGAUUACUUCAAAAAUCAAAAACCUUUAAAUGAUUCAUGAGUGACUUUACUUAUUUUAAAGUAAUUCGUAAAACAUAACUUGGUGUGUAAAGAAGUUAUUAAAAUUCUACAAAAUGAUUACAACCCUCAAAUGUUUUUUUGAGCUUACAAAGCAUUUUUUUUAUUCUCAAAACAUAUCUUGCUUUUAAAUAGAAAUUAUAAAAAAUAUAAAAAUAUAUAUUUAAAACAAAAAGAAUUAAAUUAAAAAAGAUUCUAGUUCAAUAAAUUUUACAGUAACCUUUUAACAACAAAAAGUGAUUAAUAUAUUUUCUUUUUAUUCUCUGAAAUGCUUAAAUAGUCACUAGUAAUUUUAUUUAAUUAAUGAUUUAAUUUUAAAUAAAGCAUGUGUUUUCUUCAAAAAGUGAUGCUUAUAUAUACAAUCAAAAUUCAUAGUUAUUACUUCCAUAUCUUAAUACCAACAAAUAUUUUAUUUAUUGUAAAAAUAAAUGCAAAAAUAAAAUAAAGAUUGAUUGCAUUUUAGAACCACAACAUGUAUGAGCCUAUAACCUAUUAAAAUAAAACAAAAAUAUUAAACAUCUAUAAUGUUGUACAAAAAAAAUGUGGAUUUGUACAAGAUAUGAAUUCUAACAUCUUUUACUCAUGGUUUAAAUUAUGUUGAUGUUGCUUCACUUAACCAUCAUCAAACUCUUCAAAAAUAAAAUAGUUAAAAGUUGACAUUGCCAAAACCUUACCAAUACUAAUUCUUAUUAUUCUUUGACUAUAAAAAUUCUCGUAAAAGCAUCUAAAUGAUCACUUAAUCAAUAUCCUUAUUAUUAUUAUUAUUAUUAUUAUUUCAAACGAACUCAAAUCCUCUUUUCAAGAGCAAUAAUUAAGUAGCCAAAGACUCACAUCUUUAUAAAAAUAAAUAAAAAAAUGCUAAUGACAAUUGAAUAAAUUUAAUAUAUAUAUAUAUAUAUAUAUAUAUAUACAUACAUACAUACAUUUGUAUAUUGAAAAAAUAAUAAUAAAAUUACAAAAGAAGUCUUAGAUAAAAUACGUAUUACUAAACAAAAUAUUGAUAUUUUAGAAGCCAAUUAAAUAUUCAAAGUAUUAAAUUAAUUUGAUAAAAUUGUCUUAACUUAUUUAAUCUCUUUCUAAAGCAAGAUGAAUGUGAUAAAAAUGCCUUUAUAACUUACUUUUGCACAUUUGUAAUCAAUGUUGAAAAUAAAAUAUAAAUUUAUACUAAAAAUAAGAAAAAGAUAAAAUAAUGUGUAUAAUAUUUAAAAAAUCAUAUUGUAAGAAAAAUCUUCCUCUCUCUCUCUCUCUAUAUAUAUAUACACAUAACUCUACAUUUAAACAUCACAGUUUGGCAAACUUUAACAUUGACCAAAGAAUCAUCAUCAUUACACACACACACACACAUAUAUAUAUAUAUAUAUAUAUAUAUAUUUAUAUACACUAGCAAAAACCUAUGCUAUAUUAGAAGACUUCUUUGUCUCUUUGUGUUAUAUCUAAGCUCUCUUAUAUAAUAGAUACACACUCACAAUAAAUUAAUUGUUUGUAAGAAUAACAAAACUAUGCAAUAUUUUUGAUAUAUUUGUAAGCUUUGCAAAUGGAAAAAUUAAAAUAGAUAGGAAAAUAUUAAAUAGACACAUGCUUUUACUAAAUAGGCCCAUCUUUGGUGAUGAAGAAUAUGGUAAUAAUGAUGAAUGUGGCUGGUUUUGGUUUUUAUUAGUUGUAGAACCAAUACUGGAAAAAUGAGUCCAGAAAUUAUUAUUCUUUUUCAUGAUGGGUAGAUCAAUUUAGUAAAAACUUGGGUCUAUUUAAUUUAUAUAUAUAUAUAUAUAUAUAUAUAAAUAUUAAACGGCAUCAUGUCCAAAUCCGUUAAGCACGACAUACAUAACAAGUUUCUGAUACCCUUGGCUCCAUGCUCCCCCCACCUUCCUCCUCCGAUGCGGCGACACGUGUCGCGCUUGUCUUUGAACCUAGCUUGCAGUUCAAAUUUUCAAAACCGUAUUUAAAAAGUGAAAGAGAAAAAAGAACGGAGGUAACUUGCAUCGUGAAGCGAGGGAGGGGUUUUACCCCCUUGGAGACUCCGCUCUCCGCCUGCGUUGCCUUGCCUUGGCUUUGAGGCUUGCUUUGUUGUUGCGUUACAGCAGCUGGACUAUUGGUCCAUAGACAAGCCGCCGAAGCCCUUGAUUGGAAUCCAAGGAUUCUACGCCAGAGCAUGUGCCUUGUAGUGGGAGAGAGUUCGUUCGCCGCAUGGAUCGGUGGUGGCCGAUGAUUGAGUGACGGCGGUUGCUGGCGUUAAUUUUACGAAAGCGGCGCAGGGAGAGAGGGAGUGAGGGAGGGAGGGACGGCGGGGGGCAGGUGGUGUGUUCCACGGGAGAGAUGAGCUUACUACGAAGUGUGCUCUCUAGUUAAGAGUGGAGCUGACGAUUUGCGUUUUAGCUGCGGUGUUGUAUUAACACGCUUGAAGUGAGGUGAGGAGUCCGCCAGCGACGCGAGGAGAGCUUAUCUGUCCUCUUGCUCUGUGUCGCGAUGAGCAGUUUGCGAGUCAAAGACGAAGAUGUUUGUGCGAAGGAAAUUGAAUUGGUACAGGAUCGUUACUUGUAUGCGGUGUGCAAAACGGACAAGGAACGCCGAGGCGAAGUGCACGAAUUGGACUCAGGGGGGUAGAAGCAGGAGGAGACGACGACGUCGGGUUGGGGCUGGGAGAGUGGAGUGGAAGGAUUGUGGCGUUGUAUCAUAGAUCAGUUAGCGUGGCGACUUGGGUCGUAAAAAGUCUUGGUUGUUGUUUUUUCAUUUUCCAGGGGUUCCUGUUCCUGGUUCUGAACAGAAAAUUAGGUUGAGCGUUGUGACGCUUUGACAAGGAGAGUGUAAUUAGGAGGAGUAAGGCGUGGAAUUGAAAGUGAACUCUGAGAAACGAAAAGUUCCUGUAGUUCUUAGCUAUGAUUCGAGGAUUUCACAAUUUGCUGCCGAGCGUGCCCUCAUCUCCGCGGCCAGCAGCUUCAAAAGCAGGGGAGUGCAACGCGUGUGACUGCACUGGAUUGAUAUCCUCUCAGGCGUUACCAAAUUCAGUCUCCGCAACUUGCACUUGUGAGACUUUGGAAGGGCAUGAUAUAUUUGGAAGUGAGUCAGUGUUCAAGGUUCACGAGAAUCAGUUGAACGUUCUUGACGAUUGGGAAUUCGCCGGGGACGAAGAGAAGGAGGUCAAGGAGCGGGUCGAGGCAACCGACGGAACGUCACAUUUUCUGUGAGUUUUGAGCAGGAUUGGUUCAGUUCGGGCAGUUAACUAUCAAUUAAUGAACUGAUUGUGUCGUGUGGUAUGAAACUUCCUUUCCAACUUGUAAGUGACUAGAUCUGUUGAUUGUAUCUUAUUCUCAGCACGUCAGACGCAGUCAGAGUUCCUGCUGAAGAAUCCGCUUUGGUCUAUGAAGAGGUUAACCCUGUCAUUUCAAGUUUGGAGGUCCGAACCAACGUUGCUGGAUACCUCGAUGAAGAACUUGGCCAGUCAAGGAACUGUGACUGGUUGGAGCCACCAUCUCCCUCUGGUUGUGUCGCAACGCAGGAGGGCAAUCGCCAGAUAGGUGAUGAAGGAGUCAUGCUUGAGGCCUUUCAACAGUUUCAACAAAGCCCGCAGAUUCAAGUAUUAAAACCAUAGCAUUCUUCACUAAGUUUUCGUGCACGCUCAAGCAGGAACUAGAGCAAAUUUUAUCGAGACAAGUCCAGAAGAGCAUCUAUGACCGAGUAUUUGCUAAUGAUCUUUUAUCGUUUUGUGACAGAAAAUGGUUGUAGAAUUAGCCACCGAUGCGCGGGUGUGGCAAGCUGUUCUCGCCAACAAGAAGCUCCAGCAGUACAGGGUCGGUGAUGCUGAAGGUAUCGGCUCCUCGCAACUAAAUGUGUGACUUUGCCGUUGAUGUAAGUCCAUAUCUGAGCCUUGCCGUUUCGUUUUUCUCAUAGUCUGAGAUCUUAUGCAAUGCAGGCGACUUUGAAGCUGGUAUUAUUCUCAAGGGACAUGGCAUCGACUACGCCGCACCUCGAAGCAAGGUGAUUUCGAACUUUGUUCUGUUAUCACACAAUGCAGCGCGCGAUCUGAAGGAGGGAUUGUGGGACCAUGUUAGAGGAGCUAUUGAAGUGUUAGACAAGAGGACGCAGACAGAAACACACAAAUUGAUGAAGGAGUUUAUGCAUCGAAUGCUCAUGAUGAUGGCAUUGUUUAUGCUCAGUUUAAUUAUCUUCUUGUCCCUCCUUCCGCUCCAAGUAUCUUAAGGCGCCUGAUGAGUUAGGUUCAAUUCUUCCAUCUGAAGUUGGACGCUGUUCAAACAACGACAAUAUUCUGUGUCCUUAAUUCUGGAUCACAACUGACGCCUUUGAAAGAGUGGUAAAACAACAAGUCCUGAAUACGUUUAGUUAAACUUAGUUUGUACAUGAACUUCUGUAUAUCUUGUACAGUUUGUAUCUAUUUGAAACUUGUAAUGCUUCUUCCGAUUAUGUAAAUCCUGAUUGCGCAUCUGCGACUGGUUCAUCUUGUUUUGACAAUUGACCUAGUACAUUGUGAACAAACACUGAAGUAUACCACUUUUCUGUGACUAAUUCUCAACGAACAUUGAAUUGAAGUAAGUAUUAUCUGCACUUCAUUUUUCCUGCGAGGGACUCACUUAUGCAGAUACUAAUGUUCUCCCAUCCAUUUUCUCCAGGGGAUGAUUGAAGUCGACCUUCCCUCGUCCUUAUUCACAUGCAGUUUAUGAAUUUGGGCAGCUUUAAUGGUUUCGGCAAGUAUGUGAUAUCUUGAAAACUAUCCUAAGAAUUUUAACGGACAAGUUCUGAAUCAGAUGAGGGAUGUUGCAGACUUGAGAUUUUGUACUUGGUGUUGGUAGUAUUCAGGGCUCUGGCGUAUCUCCUCCGUAGUCUGGAGCGCGUCUUCGACCUGUUAACAAGAAUCUCUUACCAAGUAUCACCAACUAUACAUUGUCCCUACUUUUUAGAUUGUGGUUCAAGGUUAAGCCUUAACGUGAGAGUCCUGGGAAGCACGUUUUGCUCUAUCUCAACGUUCUCUGCAUGCCUUUCGUGGAUAGCGGCAUCUCAACUACAACAACCCCCCCCCCCCCCCCCCAUCAGCCUUCACAACAAGAGUCGGUUAACUCGACCCCCGCAAGUCUUCUCUCGAUUGGCCUUCACAUUUUGCUAGCUUAGUACAGCAUCAUCGUUCUUUUAUAGAGUUGCAGGCGCCGCAUUCUGGGUGUCCUGAGAUAUGCCCAUGCGACCCGGUUGUUACGCUAAGUACUGAUUAUUCUACCUUAGUUGUUGGAUCGCUCCGGACCUCUUGAUUUCAAAGUUCACACAUUCCAGAAUCUCCUUUGGGAAUGGAAGAAUGGAGCACACAGUACGCCUCCAGGCAAAAGGCAAAGGUUAAUGUUGAUAAAACUUCCAAACACCUCAUUUGAUAGACGUUACCUCGAAUGUCCCACAUCACCUUGCCUAUGGAACAUAUCUCAUAUCAAUUCACCCACAAUGAAGCACUUUGUCUGUAGUAUUUAUCUUUCACUUUUUCACCCACUAAGUAUGUUGAGUGGAGAUGGUCAAUUUAGGAUUAAGCCGCUGAUUCAUACAACAUACUUUAUGAUGCAUUGUAUCCAUACACUUAUAGUUGAGUUUUGCUCACUAGUCAAGUCAAGUGUAUCAAACUUUAUUUUUCUAUCUAUAUGUUAUACUUUAUUUUUCUAUCUACAUGUUAUUAAAGCCUAGUCAAAGUAUAAUUAAAUAUUGGUGAAUAUUGCUUUCAUAUAUUCUAGAUGAAAUCUAAAACAAAAUUAAAGCAGAUUAAAAGAGAAUUGUUACAAUGGUUGAGAAUAACAAGUCUUUGAACUUUGAGAUAGGGGACUUGAAUAAAUUGACAAGGACCUUAAAUUAAAAUAUUUGGAAGAUCAAAAUGACAACAAUCUUGAAAAGAGAGAAUAUCUAGCCAUUAGUAGAGACAAAAUAAGUACCAAUAUUGUUUCCAAUACUUAUAGUUGGAACAUCCUAUAUUUAAGUCAAAAUAAAAAAAACAAAGCAAAGAGAAUAGUUAGAUAUUUCAAUGUCUUGCAGAGUAGUUAUAUUUUAGUAACUUACUUGGUGAAUAGUAGAGUUCACCAAGUUUAGGCUGUUGGUUCUUUAAAUAUGAACUUUACUUUUGAAAAAAUGAACUUAAACAAAGUUCUUCAUGUACAUUCAUUAUAACAUAAUUUUGUGUCAAUUGGCUUUUUAACAAAUGAAGGUUGAGUCAUAGUUUUUAUCAACAAAAAAUACCUUCUUUUGGAUGAUGAAACAAACAAAAACAUAUUAGCUAUGGAUACUAGAAAUUAUUCUAAUGGAUUAUACAAAUUUAUACAUAUAUCAUAGACAACAAAAGUAAAUUCAAUUUCAAUAGAUGAGAGUGUAGAUCUAUGGCAUAGAAAAUAUGGACAACUUUAUUAUUCUGACUUAUAAGACUUAUCAAAAGCCAAGAGAAUACAUGAAUUACUUACUUUUAGUACAAUCAAGCAAAUCUUCUCAGUACUGAUUACUUUGCCAGACGAUAAACAUAAUGGAAAGUUUUCAAACCUAUUACUUAAUAGAUGAAUAAUCUACUCAAAUCUUGAUUCCUAUAUACAAAUAGGGGUUGAAAAAAUAUGAAUUAUAUAUUUAAAAAAUUCUUGAAAGACAAUGAUAUAAAAAAAUAGCUUACAAUAGCAGCUACAAGUCAAUAAAAUAGAAUAAAUAAAUAUAAAAACUAGACAUUGGUAAAACAAGCUAGAUCCAUAGCUUCUACAAGAAAAUUCCAAGGUUGUCUUUAGACUAAAGCUAUAAAUAUAAUAAAUUAUUUAGUUAACCUAAGUCUUAUUUAAACCAACUAUGAAAUAUCAUACAAACAAAAAUAAAGUAAGAAAAAGCCUAUGGUGGAUUAUUUUUGUAUCUUUUAGUCAUUAGCUUUUUUUCAUAUUUUAAAAAAUAUCCAAAUUAGAUAAUAAAUCUAUAAAAUGUCUCUUUUUAAGCUACAAAGAUCAAAUUAAGUCAUACAAGUGCUUGAUUCAAUCACUUAUAGAAUAUAUAUAAGCCAAGCCAUAGUCUUUGAUGAAAUCCAAGUGAAAUAUGAACUUGUAAAAACUAUAGAAUUACUUCAUGAAGAACUAAUUUUUUCAAUUGACUAUGAAGAUAUAGUAGAAACAUAAUAGCUACAAGAAAUAGUAGAACAUUUUAUUAUUUAGGAACCAUAAAAAAAAAAUCUUUAGACAAUAACUUUACUAUCUAGUUAUAAACUAAAUCAAAAUCUCCAACCAAAUAUCUUGUAUAAGAACAAAGAUGAAUUAUUAGAUUUUGUGAUAGUUACAUAAUGAAUAUAGAAACAAAGAAAGGAAUAGAACCACAAAACUUUGAAUAAAUUAUAGAGCAUGAUGGUUGGAAAGAGACAAUCAAAUAAGAAAUAGAAAAAAUCAAGAAAAAUCAAAUAUAGAGACUUGUUGAUUUAUCAAAAGAAAAAAAAUACAUAUCUAUGUAAAAUGGAUCUUGGAGGUCAAAAUAAGAUCAAGUGGAAAUAUAAAAAAAUUGAAAGCAAUACUAAAAAUUGAGGAUUUUGAACAAGAAGAAGGGAUUGACUUCCAAGAAAUAUUUACACUAAUUUUAAGGUAGACUAUAAUUUGUAGCAUUGUUACUUUUGUAAGCAUAAAUAAGUAAAAAUUGAAAUAUUUCAAUAUCAAUGCCACAUUCAUAAAUGAUAAAAUCAAUAAAGAGUUAUACAUGAUUUUGCUUUGAAGUUUUGGAAAAGGAAAGAAAGAAGAAGAAGUGUGCAAAUUAUAAAAAGCAUUCUAUGGACUAUGAUAAGCUCUUAGAGCUUAAUAUAAUUGCAUGGAUAAUUAUCUAAAAUAACAUUGAUUAGAAAAAAGUAGAGAAGAUUAUAAUCUUUAUUUUUUAAUAAAUGAAGGAAAAUAUAUAAUUAUUUUAUUAUGUAAAAAUAGCAUCCUAAUAUCAAGAAAAAAUAUAAGAAAUAUCAUGUAAUUCAAGGAAGAAAUGACACAUAUCUUUGAGAUGUUAGAUUUAGAGAAUGUAAGAAUGUACUUAUGGAUAGAAUUUUACAAUAAUAAAUAUGGGAUUUACUUCUACUAAAGGCAUUAAAUAUGAAAAGUAUUGGAAUGAUUUAGCAUGAAUUUAUGUACUUCAAUAAGUAUAGCAAUGAAUCCUAAAUAUACGUUGAAGAAAGAAACAUGAAUCCUUGUACUUGACAAACUUAUUAAAAGUCUCAUAGACAACUUACUUUAUAUUAUCAUUAGCAAAUAAGACAUUUCAUAUGCUAUGGAUUGUAUUUCUUGACAUCUUAACAAUCUUCAAUAAGCUUAUUUUAAAGCAGCCAAAAAUAUUUCAUAAUAUUUGAAAAAAAGUCUUGAUUAUGUAAUAUUGUAUCCUUCUAAAGACAAAAAAAAAACAUACUUAUAUUUGCAGAUUCAAACUAUAUGGAAAAAAUUAACUAUUAUAGCUCAAUUUUAGGCAUCUUUUAUAAGCUUAGAUUGAUAAUAAUUGCUUGUUCAAGUAAAUUACAACCUACUCUGUCAUUCUCAUUUAUAAAAGAAAAAUAUAGGAUGCAUUUUGAGGUUAUCAAAAAUAUAAUCUAUUUUUAUAGAUUACUAAAAGAAUUAUAAAUUAAUGAUAAGGCAUCAAUUCUUCUAUAAUGUAAUAAUAUGUGUAACAUUAAAUUGAUAUGAAAUCCAAUAAUACAUAAUAAAAUCAAAUAUAUAGACUUAGAUCAUUGUUUUUUUUAAAAAAUAGGCAUCAAAGUAACUUAUAUUCUCAUUGAGUAUUAAUAGGCAAAUGUAUUUAUUAAAUCUUUGUUGAAUCUUCAAUUUAUUCAUAUUAAGGACAUGAAUUUCAAAAGAAGAAAUCUUCAAUACACUCUUGUGUCACUAAAAAGAACUAGAAAGUUACUCAAAGAUAAUAUAUUAUUGAACUAGAAUAACUAUUGCCAAAAAAAAAAAAAUGAUAGAAAGUCUUGAAACAAGACCAAAGACUAGAGAAGCAUUGACAAGAGUGAAGAAGGCUUUAUUCUUGCCUCCAUAUAUACUUUUAACUAGGAGCUAUGUCGCAAUAUCCUAUAGGACUUCCAAAACGAAUUGAAUUUAUAGGACAUGUAUUUUAACUUGCAAGGCAAGUUUCUUAUACGUGUGUCACAUAAUUAGCUUUUUCUAUAAGCUAGCAACAUGUGGUUAACUUGUUGACAAAGUUUUUAAUCUAUCAAUCAACUACAAACUCAUGUAAAAUUAAAGUAGCAUCUAUGAAGCUUCUAGAAAGCUUUUAAAGAAGAUAUUAUGAAAUUAAUCUACUUUUAUUUAUUUUUAUUUACUUCUAUCAAAUCAUAUAGAUAUUUAUUAGAAUACAUAUGUAUAUCCAUGAUAUUAUCUCUUCUUUUAGGGACAAGUUCUAUGAGGAGUGGUAUCAUGUAUUGAUAAAAUUCAAGAUGUGGCUAAUUAUAUUUGCCACAUUCUCUAUCUUUUUGGUGUCACAAAUACAUCAAAGUUACAAAGAAGGGUAGAAGGUAGAAUGUUAUCUUCUUUGAAUCUCAUUUCUUUUAUAGCAAAGAUUUAUUAUUUUUCAUCUUCAUUUUGAUAGAUGUUGUUAAUGAAAAGCCUCAACUCUCUUUGUUCUAUUUGCAAGGUUCUUUGCUAGCUUCUAUGUACAUUCACUAAUAUCAUAUUCGCAUCAAUGAAUAAGAUAUUUCAACCUAUUUUAGUAUUACCUUGAAUCUAAGACUUCUUCUAUCUCAAACUCUAGAUGAUUAUCCACUUCUAUAAGAAGUGGCAUUUGUCUUUUUCUUAAGAUAUUCAUUGUUUUAUAUGGUUGAAGAAGAGACUUUUAAAAUAUAUGGUGGAUCUUUAUAAACUUUGGUAGUUAUAAUUAAUAAGCAACAAGAUUGACGUGUUCACUAAUAGGAAAAGGUCCAAGCCUAUAAUAGUCCAACUUAUCAUAAGGACAAGUAGCCUUCAUAUUACAAUAAAGUAAUCAUACCUUGUCAUCUAUAUUAAAUUGUAGUUGUUCUUUGCAAUAGGCAUUUGCAUUAAUCUUUUGUUGUUCUUGAACUCCCUUUAACAAUUUUUUUUUUAAUUUUUUUAAUAUAAGAUUAUCAACUUCUAAAAAGUCAAAAAUAUCAAGUUAUAAAUGAUAACCAUAAUUAGUAAAAAAAAUAUUUAUUAAGUGGAAGAAUGUAUCAAAUUAUUGUACGUAAAAUUUUUCAAUAAUAAAAGAGUUGUUCAAUCAUCUUAAUGAUAGUUGAUGGUACAUCUCAAGUACUACUUCAAAACUUAAUUAUCUAUUUUAUUUGUCCAUCACUUUGAUAAUAAAAAUCCAAAGAGAGCUUUAUAUCUACUUUUAAAAUCUUAAAAAGGUUUUUUCAAAAUCUUAGUAUAAAUUGAAUCUCCUUAUCUAAUAUAAUAUCUUUAAAAAAAUUAUAAUAGCAAUAGAUGUUAAAAAAAACUUAAUUUUUUUUUUUAUUUGUGAUAGAUUUUGUAUAUGGUACAAAAUGUGCCAUCUUGAUAAAAUAAUCUACUACUACAAAUAUAAAAUUAUAUGAACCUAAGAUUAGAAGAUUCGUAAUAAAAUCCAUAGGAACAAAAGACCAUGAUUAUUUAGAAUAGAUAAUAGUUGAAGAAAUCUAUAAAGUUGAUAGUGAGGAAUUUUGGAACUUGAACAAGUAUCACAUAAUUAUACAAAGUCUUUGACUUCCUUUCACAUUUGAGGCUACUAAAAAUCUCUCAAUAUAAGCUCUAAAAUCUUGUCGUAUCGAAAAUGUUUGGUUAUUGAAAAGUCAUGAUAAGUUUGAAGAAUACAUAAUUGUACGCCAUCUUUUAGAAUAUAUAAUCGUCCCUUAAAAUAGAGUAGGUUGUUCUUGAACUUGAACUUGGAAGUAUUAUGAGACUUAGAAGAAUUAUUCUUAAUAUCAUGGAUAAAAAGAUUAGAGGACAAAUUUGAUUGAAUUUACUUGAAAAAGGUUGAAUCAACAAUCAAUAUUGAUUUUAUUGCUUGAAGUUGAAAAUAUUUUGCCUUUAAGAAAAUUAUUCUUUAUUAAUCAAAAGAUAUAUUUUUUUCUUUUGAUAUAAGAUAAGAAUUUCUAAAAAAGACGUCCAAAAAAUCUUAUAAUUUUUUGGAUUGAUAAGUGAUCUUGAAAUCAAAUCUUGAUAAAGAUAUGCUCCAACAAGCUUAGCAAUGAUUCAAAAUACAUGUCAACUUAGAGUACUCAAGGUUCUUGUAAUAUAUAUAUAUAUAUAUAUAUAUAUAUAUAUAUAUGGUGAUUGAAUUUAAGGUGCCUUUUAAAUAAUGAUGCCAUUCUUGAAAUGAAUUUAUAAUUGUAAGGAGCUCUUUGUUGUACAUCUCAUAAUUAAUCUUGGCUAUUAAGUUUUUUUGGAAUAAAAAGCUAUUGGAUGGAGUUUGUCAUUUAUUUCCAUUUGUGACAAUACUACAUCUAAGGCAAAGUCUGAUACAUCAAUUUCCAUAAAAAAUACCUUAAAAAAGUCAACACGAUUUAAAAUUGGUUUAAAAAUAAAUUUCUUUUUUAAAAAAUUAAAUGAUAUUUUGGCUUCUUUAUUUCACUUAAGUUUGUUUUUAAAAGUCAAACGUGUAAGUAGAGCUACAACUUGAAAAAAAUUCUUGAUAAAGACUCGAUAGUAAAUAAAAAAGCUUAAAAAGCAUUGCAUAUUUUUUACAGUUCUUAGAAUCUUUCAAUCCAUGAUAGUUUAGUUCUUUAUUAGAUCCAUUAUUAGUUUUCAAUUGGAAAUGAUGUAUCCUAAGAACUCAACUAGAGUAGUGUGGAAUACAUACUUUUCUAAUUUGGCAUAUAAUCUUGCAUCUCUAAGUUUUUGUAACACAUGACAAACAUGAACUUUAUGCUUUUCUAUUUUUAAAGAAUAAAUUAAGUUAUUUUUCAAAUGAUAAAUGAAAAAUCAUCAAGAAACUCAUAAAAGAUAUCAUUCAUUAGAUGUUGAAAAACAAUUGAUGCAUUCAUAAGUCCAAAAGGCAUGACAUUAUAUUCAAAAUGCCCAUACUUAGUUCCAAACAUAGUUUUCUAUUCAUCUCUUUUUUUAAUGCAUAUUAGAUUAUAUGCUCCUUGUAGAUCUAUUUUUAUAUAGAUCUAUGUUUUUUUGAGUUAAUCAAGAAGUCUUGAAAUCAAAGGUAGAGGAUAUCUAUUUUUGAUAGUGAUCUUGUUCAAUCUUCAAUAGUCUAUACACAUCUAUAGAAAUCUGUCUUUUUUCUUCACAAAUAAGAUAAGAGCCUCGGCUGGAGAUUUAAAAUGGUGUAUAAAAUUCUUAACCAAAUUCUCAUCAAUGUACUCCUUGAGUACAAGCAACUCAUUUUAUGAUAGGCUAUAAGUUGGUCCAAAUGGUGGUUGAACUUCUUUAUAAAGAUCAAAGAAACACUUAUAAGGAUAAUGCUUUGGAAGAAUAUCUACAUUUUGUUUUUCAAAAAUAUCUUAAAAAUCUUGAUAGUAGCUAUAAAUAUUACUUAAUAUAUUUUUACUAUUAAAAAUAGAUAUAGCAUAUAUAACAAAAGAUAAUACUUAUUUUGUGACAUGCAUAAAAGUUCUUGCAGUUACUAGUAAGGAUUUGGAUGUACUAGACUUAUGUAUUUUAUUUGACUAAUAAGAUUUUGGAUUAAACUAUCAAAAAAAUUAAGGUCAUAAAAAAUCCAAUCUAUUUGAAGAUUUUAUUUUUCUAACUAAAAUAACCCUAAAAUAACUAGAUUAGAUGGAGAUCUUAUUACAUUAAAUAUUACUAUACUAUUAUGAUCUUUAAUUGUUACAUCUAAAGGAACAUUUUCAUGUGUAAUAUCUCUAAAAGAUAGUAAACGACCAUCUAUGACUUCUACAUAUAUAGAUUUAGUUUUCUUGAUUAACAAUAUCUCUUGUUUUUUGACAAAAUCUUUGUUUAUAAAACAAAUUGAGGCUCUUGAAUCUAAUAAAGCUGAUUUUGUGAUUUUUUGGUUUUAAAUAAAUUUUUAUUGUAAAACAAGAUAAAGGAUCUAAAAAGAGAAUAAGAUUUUUACUAGGAAUUACAUAAGAUUUCAACCACACGGUUCCUAUUAUAGGUAGAAAAACUCAUUUUUUGAAACAUCAUCUUCUUUGGCAACCAUGCUUCUAAUUUUGUGGUUGCAUUAUUUCUUUGAACAAUGUUGAAUAGUGUAUUUAUCUUCUCUAUAGUAUAAAUAUAAGUCUUCUUGAUGUCAUCAAGUCUUUUCUUGCUUUUUAAUUGAUUUAAAAUGUAUUAUAUAAAUUUGCAUUGAUUCUAGCCUUAAUGAAUGUAUUUCUAAAAAUUUAAGAGCUGCCAUCAUAAUUUGACUUAUUCUUCUUUAGCCAAGUCUAUAUUCUUGACAUUAUUUAAAUAAUUGAUUAUUACAUGCAAUGACUUGAGUAAUAAAUUGUUCCAAAGAUUUCGCCUUUAAUAUUGUCAAUAACAAAUCUUUGACAUUAUCCUUUAAUCCAUAUCAAAAUUGAUUGAUAAGAGCUUUGUCAUUUCAAUCCACAUCUCAAGUAAGAUUUUGAAAUUCAAUAGUAUAUAUGGUAGCUAAUUAAAAACCUUGUUGUAAAAAAAAGAAUUUGGUUUUUGCUACUCUUUCUUGAUCACUUUUUCCAAAUAUGGCUAUAAAUACUUUUAAGAAUGAAUUCAAAUUAUAAAAGAGUCACAAAUUUUUUUCUAUUAAAGAUGCAAACCAAAAAAGAAUACUUCUUGAUAGAAGUAUGCCUAUGAAUCUCACUUGAAUAAAUCCAUUAAAGUAUUGGAAGGGAUGCAACUUUAAAUAGAGCUUGAGUUAUUGUUGAAAUCCUCAAAAUUUUGAUCUUGUUCUAUCAAACUUUUUGAGUAUACUAAUUCUUAUCCCCAGUAUACUUAUAGAAGAAAAACUCCUUGGAUUUGGUUGUGACGUCAAUCUAUUUAUUUCCUUCAAUUGCACAAUUUUUUGAUGUAAACUUUGAACUUCUUCCAUAGGUAUAGAAAUAAUAUCUUUAUGAUUUAUGUUAGAAAUAUGUAAGAUUUUUAUUCUAAGAGUAUUAACGAGGUCAUGGAGAUCUACAAUAAUUGCACAUCAAUUGUCUUGAGUGCUAAGAGUAGUAUCCAUAAUCUUUUCUUCUAUAGACAACUCAAACAAAUUCAAAAUAUUAAAUUAGAAGAAAAUAUUCUACAACCUCUAAUAUCAAAUGAAAAUUUCUACAAAAAAAGAUAAUCUACUUUCUUUUAGAAAAAGAUCAAUAUUAAAAAUAAGAUUAUUUAUUUAAAAGUAGAUAGUUUGUAACCUUCAAAAUAAAAUAAUAGAAGUAGAAUAAUUCAUUCAUUUCUAAAAUAAGAUAAAAAUAGUAAAUUAAUACUCUUGUCAAAAUUUUCAAGGACAUGAAUCUCAAAGAAAGAAAUCCUCAAUAUACUCUUGUGUCAUUAAAAAGAACUAGAAAGUCACUCAAAGAUGAUAUAUUAUUGAACUAGAAAGUCACUCAAAGAUGAUAUAUUAUUGAACUAGAAUAGCUAUUGUCAAAAAUAAAAAAUUAGAAAGAAUUAAAAAAAGACUAAAGACUAGAAAGGCAUUGAUAAGAAUGAAGAAGGCUUCACUCUUACCUCUACAUAUAUUCUUAAUUAGGAACUAUGUGACAAUAUUCUAUAGAACCUCAAAAACGUGUUGACUUUGCAAGAUACAUAUCUUAACUUGCAAAGCAAGUUUUUUGUAUUUGUGCCACAUAUUUAGCUUGUUCCACAAGCUAUCAAUACAUGGUUAACUUAUUGACCAAGCUUUUAACCUACCAAUUAACUAUAAACACAUGUAAAUUCAAAGCAAUAUCUAUGAAGCUUCUAGAAAGCUUUUUUAGAAGAUAUUAUAAAAUCAAUCUAAUUUUAUCUACUUUUAUCUAAUUCUAUCUAAUCAUAUAGGUAUUUAGUAGAGUAUAUAUGUAUAUCUAUGAUAAUUCACAACCAAAUAUUAACUAGGUUAAAAAAAAAAAUACUAACUCAGAAUCUUAUUGCAUAAAAACUAGAGUUCAAAAGGAGAGGCUAAAAUCCUAAGAUUUUACUUAUUAAAUUAAUUUAAUCAAGCCAAAAAAAGUUUUGGCUUCUUACUCAAUCUUGAAAAUCUUAUACUUUGUCCCAUUGAAAUUAGCUAUUUGGUUGUAACAAUCCAAUCAAGAUGCAUAAAACUUAAGGAUCAUGCCUUAACAAACUGCAUAAAACUUUCUUACACUUCUAAAAGAAGAAGUUAUACAGUCAAAGAAAAACUCCUAAUGCUAAGAAACAUUAUUAUUUCUUGUAACAUCUUAUAAUAUAGUCACUUCAAUUAAUGGCAUAGGAAUAUAUUCUUAUAAAAAAGUUCUUUCAAUAGAAGACAAAAGAAUGUACUCUUAUGAUAUAAUUGCUUUAAUCAAAGAUAAAAAAAUACUUAAAUUUUACUAUAGCUUUUAUAGUUUCUUCAAUACUUUUUUUUCACAACUAAUGAAUUAUCUUAAACAAUAGAUUCUAAAAAUCAAAUGAAAGUCUUUUGAGAUAAUGAGUCACAAUCUUAAUGAAGAAUAAUUAAUAGAAGCCAUAAAAUGAGCAAAAUUAAUUUGAUUUGCAUCAAAGAAUAUUUCAAAAAUUAGACAAUUAAUUUAUAUUUAGAAAUUAAAUAAAUAAAAAUAAAAAAUAAAAAUAAAAAAAUUCUACCAUUAAAAUCUUUUCAACAAAAUUUUUAAGGAUCUCUAUAAUUUUUAUUUACUUUGAUUUAUUUUGAAUCAUUAAUAACACAAUGAUAUAUUGAAUUGAUAGAGAGUAUUGAUAAAACUUCCAAAUAUCUCAUUAGAGUGAUGUCACCUUGAAUGCUUCACAUCACCUCACUUGUAAAAUAUAUUCCAUAUAAAUUCACUUACAAUAAAUUACUUUGUUUGUAGUACUUGUCGUUCAUCUUUUCAUCCACUAAGUAAGUUGAGUCAGAUGGUUACUUUAGGAUUAAGCCAAGAACAUUGUAUCUAUAUAAUUGUAGUUUAGCUUUACUUAUUUAAGUAUAUCAAUUUUUAUUUUUUAAUCUAUAAUUAAUUCAUGGUCUAAAAUAGAUAAUUUAUUUUUGAAUAAAAUAUGGUAUCUAAUUAUAUUAUUAUUCCAUUCCCAUCAAUCAAUAAUUACUACAUAUUGAUAAUUUACACAUAUCCAUUCUAAGCACAAUGAAUGUUAUUUAUUACUUAUAGCUUAAUAUUAUUUUAAAAAACCUCCAAUCCAUUUAUAAUUAAUAAAAUAUUAGAUCUAAUAGUUAAAUUAACAAAAUUAAGUAGGCCUAUAUGUUAGAAAUGAGAGGUGGUCGACAAUGAAUUGGCUACCUUAAUGUGAUUUUGGAACUGAUUUUAAGCCUUGGAAUCAAAAGUUUAGCAUCAAAGAAUAGAACUCAUAGACCUUUAUGUAUAUGAGAAUAUGAAGUAGUUUUGUAUUCAUAAUUUUACAUAUAUAUUUAGGAAAGAAAUGGGCCAAAACUUUUAGUUCUCUCUUCUAAUUUUUACAUGUAUUGGUACCUACCUUUAUAUAUCUUGAGUAUUAGAUACUUAGAAAUAUGGCAACUCAAGCAUAAACACCAAAUAUAUUGAUAUGUUUUAUAAUCCAAUAAUCAAGGACUUAUACCUCUAUUCAAAAAUAGAUAUUUACAACAUAAUGUAAAGAGGUUGAAGUCCACUCUUAAAAAAAAUAUGAUUAGAUUAUAAAAAAAAUCGAAAGAAGCUUAAAAGGUGUAUAAAAACUAUACAAAAGGUGUGAACUAAAAAAAAGUGAGUUUUUGUCACACUCAUGGAUCUUAUAAAUUGUCUCUUGCAACAAAUGUAAUGUACACAAGGUAUUCAAAUGUGUGCUUACUUGGCUUAAAUAAGAAAAUUAAAUUUGAAUUUCAUUAUAAUUUGAAAUUCAUAGCUUUGAGUUAUAGGAGUUUGAGCAAAUAUCCAAAUAUGAAUUUUAAGUACUAAGUCCAUGAUUGGAUUAUUCAACUAGCAAAAUAAGUUCUAGUAGAAAUAGAUGGUUGCUAUGUAUCAUAGACUUGCAACUCUAAAUAGAGGAUGCCAUCGCAUGUAUCUUUUGUCAUGUGCAAAGUUGACAACCAUCAUCAUAUGGUAGAAGUGUUGUAGAAUUAAAUCAUAGUAGUUUUACGAGAAACCAUUAAAAGUAGACAUUUCUUGAAGAUUGCACCCUAUUCCUUGAAAGAUUCAACUUGUAUAAAUUCUAGAAUCUAAAAUGGUUUUGAUAUGUGGUGAUGAUUAUAAAUGGAUAAUAUCUACUAAGUUUCAAUAUUUAAUUAAUGGAUUUUAUUGUAAAAAAUAAGAUAUUAGAUAAUAUUAUAAUUUUGGCAUAUUCUUAAUGUAUCACAAAGCAAACUAUAUGUUAUUAACAAUGAUAGUAUAUAGAUUCUUAAAAAUCUAUUACAAAAAUAAGAUAAGUUAUAAAAAUAGAUAAAUUCCAUUUGUUGCAAAUAAAAUAUACCAAAAGUCAAAGAUGAGAUGACACUUCUAGUAUUUUAGGUAAGAAUUGGUUAAGUCAUAGCUUUUGAUGCACAUAAUAUGGAACAUUCAAUACAUUCAAUACUCAUCCUCUAGAAAUGAGACUUAAUUCUCUACUAAAACAAGAUUUAAUUUUCUAAACUAAAAUAAGACCUAAUAUAUCCUUAAAAGCUAGAAAAUUAUUUCUAAGAAGAGGUUUUGAGAAAAUAUCAGCUGCCAUUUACUUUGUAGGAUAAUAUUCCAAACCAAUUUAUCUUUUCUCCACACAUUGCCUAAUAAAAUGGUAUUCAAUAUUCUAAUGCUUUAUACAACUAUGGUAAGCUGGAUUUUUGGCAAUAGCAAUGGAAUUCUAAUUAUCUUCAUAAAUAAGAAUCUUUUUUGACUCAAGAAUGUUAUAAUACCUAAGUAUUUUACACAGCUACAAAGUCUCUCUUAUUGCAGCAACCAAAGCUACAUACUUUGCAUCUAUUGACAAGACAUAAAUUGAAGAUUGCUUCUUGUUUGAUCAAGUGGUAAAUGCUCUACCUAAUAUAAAUGCAUAACCACCAAUUGAACAACAUAUCUCCACACAACUUGCCCCAUCUACAUCAUUAUAGCCUACAAGUUGCAAAUUUGCUUCUUUUCUUCUAUAUUAUAAUACCAAAUGUUUUGUCCCUUGUAAAUAAAAAAAUAUUUGUUUGAUUCCUUGUUAAUGUAAAACAUAUGGAUGUACCAUAUAUUGAGCAAAGUAUUGACAAGCAAAUAUAAUUUCAUAUCUUGUAUUAUUUACAAAGUACACUAAUGAACCUAAAACCUUUUGAUAAAGCUUAAUAUCUUUUGUAUCUAAAAGGUUAUUAUUCUUAUGUUUAGUAGUAUGACCUUGUAUUAUUGAUGUAGCAAUUUCCUUUGUAUUUUUCAUUCCAAAUUCCUCCAACUUUUGACAAAUGUACUUGGUUUGAUUGAAACUAUUGGAACUAUUUUUCUUGUAUUGCAAAAAAUCAAUGCAAAGAAAAUUACUAGAUUCACCAAGGCCUUUUAUCUUGUAGCCUUCUUCCAAUUUAUCCUUAAAUUUCACAAAGAUCUCAAAGUUCUUACUACCAAUAAAUACGUCAUCAACAUAAAUAAUUACUGUAAGAAUUAGCUUAUUAACGUACAUUGUCUAAUUCUAAUGUACAAGGUCUGAUUCUAAGUGCUUCCAACUAAGAUUCAAUAGAAAUUUAUCCAAACUCUCAUUUCAUCUAUGUUUAGAUUGCUUUAAACCAUAUGAAGUCUUCAGCAAUUACAACAUCUUGCUUUUGUGCUCUGAUAGAACUCCUAAUUCUUCUAGAAUCUUCAUUUAAAUUUUCUUUUUUUUCUAAGUUUAUCAUUUAAAUAAAAAAAUCUUAAACCAUUUAAAUUUGAAACAACAUCAAUUUGUAAUAUAUUCUAAUUAAAAAUAUCAAUAAUUACAACAAAUAUACAAAUUGUUGCAAGGUAAGCAACUGGUAUAAAAUUUUCUUAGUAAUCAAGACCUUUAACUUGAAUAAAACCUUUUGUAACCAAUCAUACUUUUAAACAUUCAAUAGAGCCAUCCUUAGCAAGUUUUUUUCUUAAAAACUCAUUUUAAAUCUAUAAUAUUUUUACCAUUGAAUAAAAAUAAUUUUUUCCAUGUACCAUGAUCUUUUAAAGAAUUGAAUUCUUCUUUCAUUAUACUACUCUAUUCUUUGUAAAAAAGUAAAUUCAUAGCUUACUCAAUAAUCUCUAAUUUUGUAUAUUCAUCAACAUGAACUACAUCCAUUGUUUCAAUUGACAAGUCAUAAACUCCUUAAAUAAAAUUAUUGUCUUUUUUCUAACGCGUGCAAUGUAUCUUAUUGCCACUUAUAAUAUUUGCCAAGUUAAUACCACCUACAUGACAAUGUUUUGGUGGUGAAGCUUGAGUGGUUGCUUCACCUUUUGAUUAAUGGAAUUCCAUUGCAUUUGUUGGUAUAAGGUUUACUUCUUCUUCAACCAUUUUUUCAUCUAAUCCAUCAUGCACAUGUAAUCUUGGAGCUUGAGAUUGGAAUAUUUUUAAUUUUCUUGGAUGCUAAAAAACUAGCAAAUAAAGAUUGUUCUUAUGAUCUAUCUCUUCACUAAUUUUCUCUUGAAAGAUUAAUAGUUCUCUAAGUAACUUAUCCUUAUUAUCAAGAAAAAUCACAACUUGACUAAUGAUUAUCUUCUUUUCCUCAGAUAGAAAAUUUUUGUACCCUUUUGCCACUUUUGAAUAUCCAAUAAAAAUAUCUUUCCUUGCCUUUGUAUCAAUUUUUUGACAUUUUUUCUUUGAUAUGUAAUACCAAAUAAGAAAACCAAAGUAAUGAGCAUUUUGAAGGAAAGGUUUUUUGCCAUAAAAAAAAUUGUGUGAUAUCUUACCAUCGAGUCUUGCAAAUUGAAGGCAAUUGCAAGUCCAAAUCAAAAAAUUUGCUACAAAUGCUCAAUAUUGACAAUCCAACUUAGCAUUGUCUAGAAGAGUUUGUAUUCCUUCAAAAAUAGUCUAUAUCAUAUGCUCUGCCAUGUCAACAAUUUAAUGUGUAUAUAUAAGAGUAGUCAUGUUCCAAAUGCCUUCAACUUUGAAGUAAAAAUGAAGCUUAUUAUUCAAGAAUUCAGUACCUUAAUUAAUAAGAAAAGUUUUUAUUUUUCUUCUAAUUCUUCUUUGUACCUCUGCUUUUCAAGUCUUAUAAACAAUAUGUACUUGAUUCUUAGUUUAAAAAAAUUUAAGGCUACAAUAGCCAAAAUGUUCAUCAAUCCAUACAAUUAGCUAUUUAAUUCCACCAAAAUUAGUUGUAUUGGAAUAAUGAAGAUCAGAUAUUAUCAUAUCCAAAAUAUCAUUGGCUUAUUUAUGCUUGUAUAAGAAAGAUUGUGUAUUGGCCUUACCAACAAUGUAUGACUCACAAAUUGGUAUUUUAUCCUUCUCUCCUCUAAAUUCUAAUCCUUCAAUAUAAUUCAUCUACUGUCAUAUUGUAAUUGUUUAUAGCAUGUAAAAAUUAAUUAAAAUAGAUAAUAUAUUUAUAAAUAUUGGUAUAUUUUAGAAUGAUUAUUAGAUUAAUUUAUAGAGAGUUGAUAUAAAAAAAUUAUUUUAAGGUUUAUUUAUGUUGAUUAUAGUAUUUAAAUUAUAUCAAAUUUAGAUAUUCAGUAUAAAAUUUAAGCAAAAGACUUGAGUUUAAAGAUGAAAAUCCAAACCUCUAAGAAACUUAUUUUGAGAGAUGAAAGGAAGGUAUGGAUGGAUGAAGGUAAAAGAUAAAGAUCUUCAUAUCUUUUAGUCAAAGGCCAUAUCCAAUAGGUAUUUAGCAUGCUGUCUGUGACCAUAAAAAGGAUUUUGGUAACUUCAAAAUAGGCAUUUGAGAAUAAAAAAAAAAAAAUUAUAAGGUUUAGGAUUUGGCCUACAAUUUUUGUACGAAUUUUAGAGGAUUUGGAAUUAGGGUGAUAAAGUUAUAGCCAUUUGAAGUUAAGGUGUCUUUUUAAGAUAUACUAUUACUAUUUUGAAGAUAUGAAAAGUUUUAUGAUAGAUUUUGGACAUCAAAAGAUGUGGCUACAAAGAUAAUUUGAAGACCUAUAUUUAUUAUGAAAUAAUUUUUGUAUUUGAAGUUUGUAUAAAGAAGUUAUAGAGCACUGAAGACAAUACAUAUAAUUCAAAGGCAAUAAGUGAGUUGUUUUGUUGAUAGUAAUGGUUGGAGCCAUAUUUUGAGUUUUUGAAUGAAGUUUUGGCUCCAAAUUUCGAAAAGUAUGUGUUAUUAGAUGAAAAAGCUAUACAUAAAAAAUUUCAUGGUAUUUAAAUAUUUAAUUUGUGAGAUAUAAAGAAAUUUGCACAUAGAUGUAUGUAAGCAAGUGUUUGAAGCUAUUAUUAGGAUUUUAGUAUUAUCUUAAGAUCUGUAAUAAAUUUGUAAUUGAAAUUUGUUAUAGUAGUUUUUAAAAGUACAUCACUACUUCAUGUAAAAUUUGGAUUUUUUUGGAUGGUCCAAUCAUGAGAUAUGACCUAUUGAAGUUUAAAAAAAAUUCACCUUAAGGAUAUACAAGGUUUUAUAAUAUUUUUAUCACAAUUUUGGUGAUCUUUGGUACUUAAGACUUAUAUAUCAAUGUAAUUGCCCCUAUAGAGAUAAAUUUAUACAUAAACUUGGUAUUUUUUUAAUCUUGAGGCUUGAUUGAGUAAUUAGUAAUAGUUAAAAGCCUAUCACUUUCUUAAGGUAAAUUCUCUCUAUUUCAAUACUCCUUUGCCUCCCAUAUUGUAUGCAUUGAAUCAUGCACUAAUGCUUGAAGCCAUUUAAUAAGUAUAAAACUCAGAAUAAUUGAACUCAAAAUUGUGGCAACUUCUUCAAUUUUAUAGGGCAUAAGGUAAGUUUUAUCAGCUAGCAUGCCUUGUGUGAAUAAGUUAUAUGAAGGUAGAAUCUAAUCAACUCCAUUAACAUUUAAGAUGAAUUUUCUACCUCUCUUGCAUAAAUUUGUAGCUAAUAAUAAAGUAUUAAGUGCUCCAAGAAUCUAAUUGACAUCCUUUACAACCAUAAGAAUGCAUUUUUUUGUAGGAUCUAAAACUAUGUGAUACAUCUCACAUGAGCCUUGUGAUUUGCUAAUGCCACCAUUGUAGCCUUAGAAUUAAAUAGUCACAUUUUUAUUGAAAUUGAAAAGUUUAUUCUUAUCUCCUUGGAUGUUUACAUCUGUUGCACUAUCAAUGUGUACAUAAUGUUAUAAUUGAGACAAUAAUCUAAUCAUUAUUUUUAAAUUAAAUGAUACUUCUUGACUUGAAAGAAUAACAACAAUUCUAACAUUUAUUAUAUUAUUUCUAUUUGUUUUAGGAUAUUCUAUAUUAUCUUGUCAAUGCCCUUUUAGUCUAUAAGCCUUAUAAGUACUUUUAGAUUUAUCAAUCUUAGGUUUUUGUUUUUGCUAUAGAUGAUGCUUCUUUAGGACUUGUUUUCUUCUUGCAUGUAUUACUAAAGCCAAAAUGGAAAAUUACUCUUUUUCUUCCUUUGCAUCUCCUCUUUAAGAAGAAUAGAUUGUACUACUUCUUCCGUAAUCUCUUCUCUUUUUUUUCAAUGCAAUCAACUGAAUAAGUACAUCUUAGGAUUUUGAUAAUGUAGUAAAUAUAAGAGAUGCCAUACUCUGUUUGUCUCUUUCACUACUGACUUCAAUAUAUUGAUUCUUAAGAUAAAAUAUCUCUCCAAGAAAAAUCUCUAUGGAUUUUUUAUCCAUAUAUCAAAGAUUAUAUAAUUUCUUCAUUGCAUAUAUCUUGGUAAUGACUCCUAAGGACUUGUGGAUCUUAGCUAAUAUAUCCCACAUUUCCUUUGUAGUAUUGUAUUUGUGUAUGUGAGUUAAUUGCAAAGAUUUAACAUUGAGUGCAAUCAAUGUUUGUGCUUCUAUUUUACUUGAUUUCUAUUUUAAUUUUCCAUCAAUACUUGUUGGACAUUCUAAUAUUCCAUCUACAUACAUGUAGAACUUAUGGAUGCACAUCAAAUAUUCUAUAACAAAUAUCCAUGUGCCAUAGUUUUUCUCAUCUAAUUGAUUAAUGCAAUGAUCCAUUGAAGAUGCCAUUGUCAAAUACAAUUAAUGUAAUAGUAACAAAUAACUAUAAGAAAAUAAUUAAAAAAUAGUUUACAAAGUGUAAUAUUUAGAGAGUAGUAGUACCAAGCUAUAUUGGCACAAAACAAACUUGUUUUUAUUGCCAAAAAUAAAUAAAAUUUGAUUAAAUUAAAAUCAGCUUCAAAUAGAAUCAAAUUCCAGCUCCAACAACUACAUCAACUCCAACACCUUUAAUAACUCUGGUAGCUCCAAUGGCUCCAAUAACUCUAGCAAUUCCAACAACUUCAAUAAUUUCAGCAGCUCCAACAACUCUGAUAGUUCCAACACCUCUAGUAGUGAUAGAGCUCUAGCAACAAGUAAAUCAUCUAAAUUUUUAUAUGGUGAAAGCAUCCAAUUUUUUCAUUCAAAGUUUGUCCAACUAAUUUUCAUCCAUGAUAAUGUUCAUCUAACUCUGAUACUAUGUUACAAAAAUAGAAUAAGUUAUGAAAAGAGAUGAAUAUCAUUUGUUGUGAACAAAAUGUGAUAUAAGCCAAGGAAGAGAGGGCACUUCUAGUGUAUUAGUUAAGAGCUCGUUAAGUCACAGCCUUUGGUGCACAUAAUAUGGCACAUUCAACACAGUCAACAAAAUCAAAUGCUCUAGAUCACGACCAUAACCUACUAACAAACACAUUUUGUUUCUCUUCAAAAGCUGACAUGCUGAUUUCCAACAAUAUUCCAACUUUCUGUAAGGAGUAACAUCCAUGGAAGCUUUUAACCGUGAAGUCAUUUGUUACGACACGUGAGGGGUUGACUUAUACACUCCAUAGAAACGUUCAAAGCUUCUUCCUAUAGACAUAUUGUCAACGCUAGAUCGUACCCAAACGCAAGCGUAUGCAUCAUGUGCACAUUCUCUACCACAACUGGUUUCAGAGUGCCGUGUCAAUUUCCUCAGCAACACGCAACAACGCUUCGGCGUGGACCCACAAGUCCAAACCUGCAGACUGUCACUAGAGUGGCCCCACCGAACCAGACCGGAUAACUUCACCUGAACAAAUUUCAUUCUGCCCUGCAGAGCUGCGCCGAUUUCACCUCGUGUUAUGGACCCAUCUAGACUUGUUCAUCGUACGAGACCUCCCGGUACUAAGUCUAGAUCUAGACACGAAACCAGAUCCCUGACAGUGUAGAAGUUAUUAAGCACUGGUCAGAGACUUGCAGCAAUGGCACUAGGGCAUGAGCCCAGUUAGCAAAGAGCAAUUCAUAGACAAUGAUCAGGCAACUGGAAGGUACACUUGUGAGUCACAAAGCCACCCUGCUGUACAAUUCUUGUGGGUGUUGUGAGUUAGACUCAUCGUUAAACUAGGUGCCUUGAAGCGCCACCAUUUGCAGGUCGCUGUGCAGGUCUUGGUUUUCACAUUGCUGCUGCAGGUGCAGGUAUCCAUGUGGUCGGUAGAACUCACUUCAAUUCAGCUAUAAAAUUUCUAGCUUGCACUCCUGACGGCACAUAACAAUGACACUACAAAAUGAUAUUGAUUCUCAAUCUCAUAACAUCAAGGCUUAAUCUAUGAAUUCAGUAACCAAAGAGGCUUCCACUUACCACAACCAUGAGGUUCUUAUUCCUUCUGAUGGCAAAGCAAUGUAUGACACGCUUUGCAGACAAUGUGGUGUGAUGGUGUCCCUGAUGGCGGACUUCCAAUCUUCCAAGGCUUGUGCACAAAUGGCUCAUUGAAAUGAGCUUUGGAAUGCAUGAGAUGUAUAAACAAUGUGGUCAGAGGAAGUUUGAUCAUAUGUGUGGAUAUAUAUAUGUAUAUAUAUAUAUAUAUAUAUAUAUAUAAAUCUUAAAGUGAUCCACCUAUUUACUAAAUUGAUCGACCCUAUCUUAACCAUUAUUACCCUCAUUUCCACCCUCCUAGUUCCCAGCCUUUGUUUCUCUUGUUCUCAACUCUCCUACCAACCUCCCUCAUUUCUAAUCCUAGUUCUCUUUGUUCCCUGCUCUCAUCCUUACCUCUUCCUCAAAUCCUCAUAUUCUCUAUGUUAGAACAAUCAUCCCUGCUCCAUCAUCCUCCUACUUAUGUUAUUAUUUAGAUCUAUGAAUACAUGAUCUCUCAUCCACUUCUCUUCAAGAGAAGCAAAAUUCAUCCUAUGUUUCUUUAUACUUAUAUGAGUACUUGUGAGUCACUAAGUUGACUAACUUUGUUAUUUAGUAUAAAAAAUACACUUAUUGUGCUUACAAAUAUAAAUUAUGUGAGUUAGUAGUAGAAUUUUUAGAAAAAAUAGAAAAUAAAUUGCUAAUAGCAGAUAUAUAGUCCAUGGUAGAAUUUAUUAAGACAAUUUUCAUGAUGAAUAGGUUUUUUGUAGCUAAUAUUAAAUGAUGGCCAAUGGAAGUAUUCUUCUUGGUUAAAAAGGAAGAAAUUUUUUUUAUUUUAUUAAUAAUUCUUAAAUAUAUAUAUAUAUAUAAAAUAAAAAGUUCAAGAGAGUGAAAAAACGAAUAGAGAAUAGAAGAGAAGAAGGGAAGAAGAAGAAGAAAAGAAGAAGAAGAAGAAGAAAGGAGAAGAAGAAAAAAAAGAAAAGAAAAAAAAAGAAAGAAAAAGAAUUGCAAAGGUGAUCAAGAGGACAAGAGGCUGCUCCUGAACGACGGCAGCCUCUUAGUGGAUAGGGGUCCAGCCGCCCAGAUUUCCCCUGGCUCACAAUUUUAUUUUUAAAUUUUUUUUUUUCUCCCUUCUUGUGUUGUAGCAUGGUGGCCGGCUGGAGGGAAGACGUUUUUUUUUUGGAAUUUUUCCUUGUUCCUCCGACGUGCGGUUGCUGCUACGGAGUUUUUGGUGCAGUCUAGGCGCUGCAGUGUAGCAUCCUAGUUCUUCCUAACUUGUAGUUUUGGUGGCCGUCGACGGAACUAAUCACGGCGAUCAAGUUCUUUUUGUAUCCCAGGAAGUUCAGGUUGCGGUGUUCUGCAGCUGUGGUUUUCUUUCUUCUCCAAGUUGUGGCAGCAAUGGCACUACGGUUGGCACGGCGAGAGUGGAGGUUGUCAGUGUUGUUGCUGAUCUGGGAUUUUGGAAGAGAGCAUUGGCGCUAGAGGUGUGGCGAUGCUAGGGGGAAGAUGAAAAGGAUCUCUUUGGGUUGUGCGGACUCUUCUGUGGGAGCGGCGGUGAUGAUCGUGCACGGUUGUGUUGCUGAACGCACUUGUGCCUUCAUUUUUUUCGUGUUAAUUGUUUGUUGAAAUGCUGCGAAGCAAGAUUUUUUUUUUGUUUUGUUUUGUGAUCAGCGUGGAUGCCAGUGGUUCGGUCUGUGUACUGGUUCCGAUUGGAAUACUGCGAUGGUGUUGCAGUCCUAUGUUAUUGACAAAAUGCACUCUUUUGGAUUGUUUGGAUUCGAGGAGGUUGUGAGUUGGUUCAUAUGAACUCAAGCAAGGCGGAGUAGAGUCUGCUUAGGAGCUAGGAUAGAAGUUAUAGAUCGAUGAUUGUGUCAGCCAAUGUGAUUCAGAGCUGCGGAUCACAGUUAUUAAAUCACCGAGUCCGCAUGCACGGCGGGUUUUCGCUGGUUGUAUGGGCAGAAAGAUGGGAAUAAUGUUUGACAAGGUGUGGUAGUCACGUAUGAAGUCGUAAUUAUGCAUAUCAUGUUGGGGUCCAGGCGAUGCUACAAUCUACAACAGGGACAAAUCCAUUGUAAUACAGGUCAAACUUGAAAACAAAACAUUUCAUGAUUAGUCACGUUGAAACAAUCAGAUAUCGGAGUACAAAGGCACUGGCCGUGAUGGGUCAGUGGGUACAAUCAAUCAUGAAUGGAGCUUUAGGUGCAAUAAACGCGGACAUUGGGGCCAAGACGAAUCACUCUAGACCCGGUACAAACAACUUUGAGUCAGAGACGUAACAACAACUGUGCAACGCCGUGGGAGCUCAUGCGACUAGUGACAACGUUGUUCAAUCUUAUGUGUCACAUUUGCACUGGCAUAUCAACUACUAAAGGACAUUGCACGACCAACAUUUGCAGCUCAAACAUCUUCUGUAGCGGCUACUCUGCAGACUCCACGAAGAAGCUGGAGGCAUUGUUCCUUGUCGAAAUGUUCUUGUUGAAAUCGUUGGUGUGGCCCCUCCUCAUCGGGACUGACUCCUUACGAGUUUAGAAUUUUCUUUUUAAUCGACAUAUUGUUCAAGAUCAAGAAGGUGAAAGAGAACAACGACAAGUCGCUGGAUGGAUAGCUCCCAUGCAUGGAAUGGCAGGAGCUUGUUGUCUUUUGUUCUUUCGAAAGCAUGAGCAAAGGGUUUAUGGGGCGUUUUAGUACCUACAACCGAGAAUGCUGGGUGCUCUUGAAGAUCUAUGUUUGAAAGUGUACUUGUCUCUUGUUGCUUUCACUUGGAACAAGAUUGCAGCAUCUUCAGAUUAUGUAGUACAUAGGAGACACAAAAAGCUUAUUUAAAAGUCGUGCGCUUCUGUAGGUUACUUGCACAAGUAGUUAAUUAGAUCGGAGAAGCUGAGGUGCGAAGGGCACCUGUAUUAGAAGUCGAAGAAGCCAACCCAUUAGUAGCUCAUGGAUGUCAACUAGAAGUUGGUAACCUUCAAAUCAAGGAGGGCUGCUGGAAAAUUGAAGAUAAUUGAAGAUGAGUCUCUGCUUGGAGGAAGUAAUCCGUAGAAGUACUCGUAAUUCCAGCUCUUGACCUCUAAGCGGAGAAGAAGCGAGCUUCACCAUCCCAACUAUCCUCAUGUCUGCAAGGCGAUGGCUCCUAGACAGUGAAGUUUAAGGGUAUGAAGUUAGGUUUAACAACAAUUAUUAGCUGGAUGAAAAUAUUAAUCAAAGAUGGAAUUUCUUUAUGGAUGAAGUAUGAUGGAUGAUAACUUAUAUUGGAUGAUUUUUUGUUAAAAUAAUAAUAAUAAUAAAUAAUAAAAAUAAAAAUAAUAAUUAAUGAGAUGAAAUUAAAUUAACAAAUAUAAAAUAAGUGAAUUAAGAAUUAAAAUAAAGAACUUAGUAUAUGCAUGUUGUAAGAAAAUUAU